AAUCAAUGGCCUCCUGAACGUGCAUUACACUCUCGGGAUUUCCCUGAGAGCAUGUCUGCUUCAGUGCUUAA
rnacentral:rRNA from 1 species